UCGAUUUUUAAUGACUCCAACCUAAGUGUAUGUAAACUUCCGACUUCAACUGUAUAGUGUAUAUGUUCUGAUCAGCCUCUUUUGUGUUAUUCAAGCCUUGACGACUCAUUCAACGAGGAGAGCUACCUCAUAGAGGGUGGACCACACUCUUCUACCUCAUGUAAGACAGGCACAGUCUAAUGGGACUGUGUGAAUGUCCCAUAUGAGGGGGAUGCGGUUUUUCCUUCCUCACAGGCCAGAGAGGGAACAUACCUAAAGUAUGUGCUGCAGCUGAAGAAUGUAACCUUGGCACUACCAAUGCCAAAGCAGAUAGAUAAGUGCUGUGGAAUUAAAUGUCCUCCCUCUGAAAAAUGAUUUGUGUGUUUUUAGUGGACAGGAUAUGAUGGGAAACCUUUUGAAUCCAACCAAAAGUUUUCCUCUUCCAAAUGACCGAGUAUAACGUUUAUUUAUUCAAUCUGGUCAGUCACACAGAAAUGCUUAUGGCCUGUGUCGCGGAACCACAUUAAGCCUAUUCCAUGUUUAAAAGCCAUUUCCAUUGAGCAUGCUUUUCCAUCCAGGUGUAGGUUUAAUCAGGAUCUGGGGAAAAUGGCCCAUAAAGAUACAAUUCCAUUGUACCACAUUCUGACUCCUCCAGAGUUUCAGGAGCUGGUCCUGGAUCUGCUGUUGGAAAUCAGUCAGUCAGUGAAGGAGCUGGUAAGGGGGGGGGGGGAGUUCUGUAACACUGGGAUUCUACUGAGGGUUCUGGACCUGGAACAGACUUCCAGUUUGUGUGUAGAAUCCUGGAAGACAUGGCCAACCUGGAGAGAGUUCUAGAGCCUCCGGAGGUAGCUGGCCAGAUGAAACAGUUUCUGAGUAGGAUCGGUGGGAACACGUUGAGGGACAAUGUCACCGGAGUGAUGGAAAAGUGGGCACACACUGGCUAAAAUACUGUUGUACUCCUGUGUAAAUCUCUCUUUCUGUGACUGCUAUUUGAUGGGUAACAGUGUUCUCGUACUAGGCUGAUAACCAAUGAACUGAUGAGCAACUUCAACAUGAAAGGAAGGAAAUGGACCAAGAAGAGUUCUCACACACUCCCUGAGCAAAAUCUUUAUUGGUAAGAGUACAGAGUAUAUGAGCAGAGUGGAGCGGUCUGAAAUAACGCUUAUCGCUCACUGAGCCAGCGCUCCACAUUCUUUACAACCACACCGCAAAAAACGUUCCUCAAACACAGAAGAAAAAAAACGCUGCUCAAAAUUUACUCCAUUCAUUCAAAUCACCAUUUCACCAACACCCAUCUAUUUUUGUGACUACCUGGACCUACCAUUUGCUUUUGAAAUAUUGAAGCCAGAUGAAGGAAAAAGGAAACCYCACACUGCUCUUGAUAG